AUUUCGUGUCAUCGGUAACGCCCCUAUAAUCGCGAACGUGGCGCCUAUGUCCUACUAACGAAUGCAGAUCGUAUUGUACAAAGUCAGUCGCUGCUCGGGAAUGGUAAAAGACGGUGUCACCGAUGAUUUAUGUUACCGCAUUAUAUGUAUAUGCUUACGAAGCUAUUCUUUAAAAAUGUAAAUCUUUCAUUCUCCCCUUAUUCUCAUAAUCUUAAUCACAAGAGGAGGAAGCGGCGAGGAACAAGGAAAAACUGCAUACCGAAGAAUAAUUACUUUCAAAAUAACCCAUCAAACGUACAAGGUUAUCGUGUGGAAAAAAAACCGACAUAACCUCUAAAGUAUACUCUAUAUAAUAAAAAUUGCUUCCAGGCAUGUCACAUGACGAAUUAUGGGAUCAAAGCAAGUUUCAACGAAUUAUAAGAAAUAUAUUUUAUACAGAAUGAAAAUUCGAAAUAAUUCCAAAUAAUUUUAAUCCCACAAGUCACGAAACAUGCGUUGAAGCAAAUCUUAUUGUAUAGACGUUACACUGUAAAGGUAUUUCAGGUUAUGAAUUCAUUUUAAAAUAAAUUCUCGAGAGUUUGCUAUCGAGAAUACUUUUUACAAGUAAGAAAACUGCAUUGACAAUGCCUUAAAAUAACUUUCACAGUAUCCAUUUGUUUUUUGUGAGUUUUUUUUACUUUCAAAUGAAUUCAAACCUUAACAAAAUAUCACUUCAUAUUCUUUCAAUAGUUGUUUCAACGCUGUGAACGUUUUACUUAACGAAAUCACGUGCUCGAACAAAUGUAUUUCGGUUCCUCUUCUGGGUCAGUUGUCUUUAUUUCCUAUUCUAAAUACGCUUAACCGCAUGUCAUGAUAAAGCAACAUACCAUUUAUGUCUCUCGCUGAACUCUCGAUCAAAUGGCGAAUUACGGUUAAUGAACGUAUGAAUCAAAGCGAAUUGUGCGCGGUUACGGAAUCGCGAUUACAUUUAAGGUCAGCUCUUACGUUGGGAGUAGUUUUCAAUCAGUCAGCUUAAUUCCACGCUUGGAAUUCGAUUUUCACACAUGCCAGGGUUUUUAUGUAUUUAUGUAUAUAUUUAUAUAUGUAUAUAUGUAUGUUCGAGCACGUACGUUUAUUAAUGUACUUUGUUGGAAGAUGCUACGCCGUAAAUUUUGUAAAGCAGAUUCUGACGUGUUGCAAUACGAAAAGCAUAAGACUGAAUGUGAAUAAUAAAAUAUGUAUAUUAAUGUAAUAUACAAUAAAUGUUUGUGUAAAAUUAAAACGUAAUAAUGUUCGAUAAUCAUCUCCCUUUAAUCGCUCUACGAUUUUUGUAUAUUUUUCUUUUUCUUUCUAAUUAAUGAUAUGUAACAAAUACAAAACAAGGAGCAUGAAUUUUAGACCAACGUUCCUGUGCCUCUCACAUCGUCUAACCUCUCCAUGACAGUACGAGAAUGUACGAAUAAUAAAAUUAAUGAAAAGAUCCCAGAUAGCAUUUGAUGCUUUAAAGAUGUUCACAUAAUUUCAAGGAUAUUAGUAUAAAAUUCAAUUUGAAAAUAUCUUAUAAAUAUAAUUAUUCUUAUACUAAUAUAUAUAAUUGAAAAAAAAUUUGCUUUACAAUUUCUUCUUUAAAACGUUUUUCCAAAAAAAACAUCGUCUGUCUGGGAUACAAGCGCAAGUAGAAAUGGCUGGAGGGUGAGACGGACUGAAUGAACAAAAUCAAGUGUACAAAUAAAUAUAAAACGUAUAUUUAAAUUAAAUGCCACAAAGUAUCUUGUUGUAUGUUCUUGCGUCAUGAACGAAGUCAGAGCUGUACUAGAUUUUUUUUCCGCCUCAUUUGCUUCUUCUCUUCAUAUUCUUUUCCUCCACGUGAAAUUACAGUGCUCUGAGACGACGAACGAACGUAUUAUCUAUACACACGCGCCAUUUUAUACGCGGAACAACGGAGAAAAAAAAAAAAAA